rnacentral:rRNA from 1 species
UACGGGAGGCAGCAGGUGGGGAAUAUUGCACAAUGGGCGAAAGCCUGAUGCAGCUAUGCCGCGUGUAUGAAGAAGGCCUUAGGGUUGUAAAGUACUUUCAUCGGGGAGGAAAAACAAAACUAAUAAUUUUAUUUCUUGACGUUACCCGAAAAAGAAGCACCGGCUAACUCCGUGCCAGCAGCCGCGGUAAUACGGAGGGUGCUAGCGUUAAUCAGAAUUACUGGGCGUAAAGAGCACGUAGGUGGUUUUUUUAAGUCAGAUGUGAAAUCCCUGGGCUUAACCUAGGAACUGCAUUUUGAAACUGAAAUACUAGAGUAUCGUAGAGGGAGGUAGAAUUCUAGGUGUAGCGGUGAAAUGCGUAGAUAUCUGGAGGAAUACCUGUGGCGAAAGCGGCCUCCUAAACGAAUACUGACACUGAGGUGCGAAAGCGUGGGGAGCAAACAGGGAUUAGAUACC